CCCGUCACAACGGCUUCCUGGCGUGACGGUGUCAUUAAAUGGAGCA
rnacentral:ncRNA from 1 species